CAGAAACUCGAAAGGAAGUGACGGGGGCCCGCACAAGCGGAGGAGCAUGUGGUUUAAUUCGAUGAUACGCGAGGAACCUUACCUGGGCUCGAACGUAAGAUGACUGUAGGUGAAAGCUUACAUCUCUUCGGAGCAUUUUACGAGGUGCUGCAUGGUUGUCGUCAGCUCGUGCCGUGAGGUGUCGGGUUAAGUCCCAUAACGAGCGCAACCCCUACCUUUAGUUGCCAUCAGGUAAUGCUGGGGACUCUAAAGGAACUGCCUACGCAAGUAGUGAGGAAGGCGGGGAUGACGUCAAAUCAGCACGGCCCUUACGUCCAGGGCUACACACGUGCUACAAUGGCCGAUACAGAGGGCAGCUACCUGGUGACAGGAUGCAAAUCUCCAAAGUCGGUCUCAGUUCGGAUCGGAGUCUGCAACCCGACUCCGUGAAGUUGGAUUCGCUAGUAAUCGCGCAUCAGCCAUGGCGCGGUGAAUACGUUCCCGGGCCUU
rnacentral:rRNA from 1 species